GACGAACGCUGGCGGCGUGCCUAAUACAUGCAAGUAGAACGCUGAAGAGAGGAGCUUGCUCUUCUUGGAUGAGUUGCGAACGGGUGAGUAACGCGUAGGUAACCUGCCUUGUAGCGGGGGAUAACUAUUGGAAACGAUAGCUAAUACCGCAUAACAAUGGAUGACCCAUGUCAUUUAAUUGAAAGGGGCAACUGCUCCACUACAAGACGGACCUGCGUUGUAUUAGCUAGUAGGUGAGGUAACGGCUCACCUAGGCGACGAUACAUAGCCGACCUGAGAGGGUGAUCGGCCACACUGGGACUGAGACACGGCCCAGACUCCUACGGGAGGCAGCAGUAGGGAAUCGUCGGCAAUGGGGGCAACCCUGACCGAGCAACGCCGCGUGAGUGAAGAAGGUUUUCGGAUCGUAAAGCUCUGUUGUAAGUCAAGAACGAGUGUGAGAGUGGAAAGUUCACACUGUGACGGUAGCUUACCAGAAAGGGACGGCUAACUACGUG
rnacentral:rRNA from 1 species